rnacentral:rRNA from 1 species
AUGGCGUACUGCUCAGUAACACGUGGACAACCUACCCUUUGGACGGGGAUAAACCCGGGAAACUGGGUAUAAUACCCGAUAGUCCUCGAAAGCUGGAAUGCAUCGAGGACGAAAGCUCCGGCGCCGAAGGAUGGGUCUGCGGCCUAUCAGGUAGUAGUGGGUGUAGCGUACCUACUAGCCUACGACGGGUACGGGUUGUGAGAGCAAGAGCCCGGAGAUGGAUUCUGAGACACGAAUCCAGGCCCUACGGGGUGCAGCAGGCGCGAAAACUUUACAAUGCUGGCAACAGCGAUAAGGGAACCUCGAGUGCCAGGUUACAAAUCUGGCUGUCGAGAUGCCUAAAAAGCAUUUCAUAGCAAGGGCCGGGCAAGACCGGUGCCAGCCGCCGCGGUAACACCGGCGGCUCGAGUGGUAACCGUUAUUAUUGGGUCUAAAGGGUCUGUAGCCGGCCGGAUAAGUCUCUUGGGAAAUCUGGCAGCUCAACUGUCAGGCUUUCAGGAGAUACUGUCUGGCUCGAGGCCGGGAGAGGUGAGAGGUACUUCAGGGGUAGGGGUGAAAUCUUGUAAUCCUUGAAGGACCACCAGUGGCGAAGGCGUCUCACCAGAACGGACCUGACGGCAAGGGACGAAAGCUAGGGGCACGAACCGGAUUAGAUACCCGGGUAGUCCUAGCCGUAAACGAUACUCGCUAGGUGUCGGCCACGGUGCGACCGUGGUCGGUGCCGUAGGGAAGCCGUGAAGCGAGCCACCUGGGAAGUACGGCCGCAAGGCUGAAACUUAAAGGAAUUGGCGGGGGAGCACCACAACGGGUGGAGCUU